ensembl:lncRNA
CCGGGAUGCCCGCCCUCUCGCCCUCGCCCUCGCCCUCCUCGGCCUCCUCCUCCUGCUCUGCCGGCCCGGGCCUCUCAGGGACCCAGCCAGCCUCUUCCUUUACGUCUGGGGGGCUGAGAUCCUGAGAGGAGGGGCCUCCAGCAGCGGGGGCGGAGUCCCGGCUCUUUCUGGUCAGGUCCUGGGGGACGAGGUCAUCGUCUGUUGGGGAAGGGGUGAAGGAGAAGGGCUCAGCCUCUUGGCUGAGUUGCCCUUACCCACACAAGAGGGUUCCAUCCUUGCUCCUCACCCCGGCCCCAAGCUAGCCGGCCCCAGCCAGAGAGAGAGGGGUGGAGAGUCUGUGUGUAGAGGGAAAAUAAGCCUGCAGCCCUCAACCAAAUGUCCCUGCCUCCCAAUUUUGUUUUCAGCUCCCAUGCUGCCUCCCUAAUAUUGAAGGGAUCUCAGCCCUGGGACAGCCUCGCACCUGGUGAGGACUGGGUGAGCUCGGACAGAGCCUCAGGCUGGUCACCCCAGGCCUGCAGCAGGGCACUGCGCUGGGGGCCACUGAGCCCUAGGGAGCUGGGGUGCAUCUCCAGCACGUGAGCACGGAUGUCGUCCAAGUGCAGGCUGGGCAGUGCCCGGCCACAGGCCAUGCACACCAGCCGAUUCCCCCGUGGGUCGUAGUCCAUGAGACACUCGGCCCGGAACCAGUUCUGCAGGGACUCCUUCAGCCUCCGCUCCAGGCGCCGGGCCCCCAGCCCCCUGCUGCCCCCAGCCCUUCUGGAGGCGGCAAGGCGCCGGCGCCGAGGUGCCACUGGGCCCCCUCGAACCCCUCGCCGCUGGCGCCUGCAGCCCCCACCAGCUGGGGCUUUGCCUGAAAGGGUCGGAGGGAAGCAACUGAGUCUCUGGCCCUCUGGGGAGUCCCCCACCACAGUCAGGUACUCCACACAUAGCCUUUUUCUCACUCAAAUCUGACUCGGUCCAAUGGCUGACCUUUGCCUGUCUUCCUCUCCUUCUCACAUCUUGCUUUCUUUUGUUUUUUAGACAGAAAUUCAUACAGCCUAGACUGGGUUCAAACUCCCUAUGUAGCCAAGACCUUCUAAACUAUUGACGCUCCUGCCUCCUCUACUUUCCCGGGAGUAGGGGUGCUUCUGGCGGAUGUGCCUCUUGAUGGUGCUGAGCUUGAGGGUGGCCAGGGAGCUGCCACACACCAUACACACCAUGCCGUGCCGGGAGGGAAUGAAAUCCAUCAGGUACUCCAAUCGCCAGUGGUCGUGGUAGUAGCGCCGAUGGUCCCUGCCAGGGAUGCGGCUCUUUCCAGGCCUCGAGGCCCGAGCCUCACAAUGAUCUGAGUAUUUCCUGCCUGAAGAUGCUGGUCCCCUGGCCCUGGAGGAGGGUAGGGGGGUACUCCCCCAGGACCCCAAGGCACCCCCUUCCAGCUGAAGAGCUUGUCCUGAAGAAGGGAAAAGGGAGACAUGUUCUCAAUCUCCAAUUUCCAGGUAAAGGACCCAAGGCUUUGAUUUGGAAGCAUGAGAAAGGGAGGUGGGGGAGGGGAGUUUAGGGCAAGGAAGGGAUGGCAAGAGCAAUGAAAGGGAAGUGGGUAAUGAGGGAGUCAAAACAGUCCUUACAAAGAGCAGGGACCCAGUGAGAGGAGGGAGAACAAAAGGAUGAGUACUGUGUGAGCUUGCUGCAGAAGGCCAGGGAGGGUGCCAGUCCACAGAGGUAUAGACAGGGGUGAAGCUACAUCAGCAGGCUGGGCAGUUACUGCCAGAAUGAAGAAAGCAGUAGGCAGAGGGAAACAAAGGGGGGAUCUGUCUGCACCCAGAUCUGUGGACAAGACUCACCCACCUGAGGCCCCACCAGGAGUGCCCCACCCAAAGGUCCCUUUUCCAAUAAUACUCCAAAUAUGCCCUCCUGUAAAUACCAGUUUAGGGAGGGGUGUGUAAUGUCUGCUUUCCCACUGGAGGGAUACCUAAGACAAAGGUGUCAACACCUCCAGGGAAGGAGUUUCUCAGACCCAGGCUUCCCCAGAGUAGGGGAGGGGGCAAUGGCCCUGAAAAGGGAAGGCAGGAGGGCCACCAGGGUGACUACUGAACAUACACACUGCAGAUUGGGGUGCAGUCACCACCCAUAAAACCACUACAUCUUUCUAGGCAUUUACUUCAUUGGGGCUGGCUACAGGGACUUGACUACUGCCCAGCAAUCAGAAAGGUGAGCACUUCUGGGCCCCACCAACCCAUUAGUGUUCCUACACUUUGUCAAAGACACCAGAGCACUACCUUACCCUCCCUGCAGAGCUGGCUGACCAUUUUUUAUUGAGAAAACGGUCUCCUGGCCACAAAGACUAGACAGGCAGGUUCUGGCUAUUCUCUCAGUACAGAAUCCCAAAGUCAGACAAACAAAAGACAGGAUCAGAGAAAGGUCCUGUCCCUGUGUGGAGUUUGCAUUAUCUUAUUUAUUUAUUUUAAGUAGAGCUAUAGAAAAAAACACUAGGUUCAAGAUCUGGCUUCUCUGGUGACUUGCUCAAUGACCUUUGGUAGGUCAUGUCCGCUCUCUGGGCCUAAGCGCCUUUGUCUGCAAAUGCACUGACUGGCUGGAUAGCUAGUACCCUACUAAGCAUCCUUCCAGUGCGGGAGACUUUAAGUCUAAGGCGGACUGGCCCUUUAAGAGCAGAAAGAAAGAAAAAAAAAUAGAAAAGAGAAAGGAGGAGCUGAGAUUCUUUAAAAACAAAAGGGGAUGGGGGGCUUUAGAGGAGAGCUCAGAGAGUAGGGAACAGUCUCCCCAGUCAGCACGGAACCUUCCACUGAUAAAGGCAAUAAACCCCUCAGCAGGGAGACAAAACAAACAGUUGGCUUUGAGGGACAACGAGGACCGGGCGAUCCUGAUACAACCGACAAACUGGGGCCAAAAUAAAUUCUGACACGCCACAGGGCACAGGCAGGAGAGGGCAUCCACCUUCGUGGGCGAAUCCAUCCCUUACUUAAGACCUUCCCGAUGUGGGGGAUAGGAGAGGGGGCCCACCCAGGGCGUAGGCUGUGCUUUUUUUUUUUUUUUUUCCCUUAGCGCAACCGUGAAGGGAAGAGUUCCCGUCUCCAGCAAGGCCACGCAGGAGAGGGACAGCGCACCGGAGACAGCGGAAUCCCCAGCUACACUACUCUGGGGAAAGUCCUAGAAGGGGAGAGUGGUGGGGGCUGGGCGCCCUUUGAAGAGACCACUUGGGAGUCUGAAAGGGAAGGGGCGGGGGCCGCGAGUUCCAGUGCCUCGCUGGCCGGUGUCGCUGGUCCCCCAAAAGCGGGCGCCGCGGGGCCCUUUAAGGAGCGGGGAUCCGCCCCAGCCUGGCGGGCAGACCCCGGCACGGGCGGGGGGCGCCCCGCGGGCCCUGCAGCUGCUCCCUGCGCCCGCCAGGUGGCGCCCCCGGACGCCCUGCGCUCGUCCCCCGCUUUGUUCGGCGGCCGAGAGGGGCCCGGAGCCGCAGCCCUCCCCUCCCCCACGGCGGGGCCCCCGCCCCGGGCCGUCGGGCCCAGCUCUUACCGCCGUCGUCGUCCUCGGGCUCCGCGCCGCCGCUCGCUGCGCGGGCGGCAGCCGUCGGCCCCCGUCGAGGACACUGCGGCCCGGGGCCGCCCCCUGCCGCCGCCGCCGCCGCUCCGGCUCCGGUGGUCCCCGCCGGGCUCCAUGCGCUGCGCCG